GAUGAACGCUAGCUACAGGCUUAACACAUGCAAGUCGCGGGGCAGCAUGGGGGUUGCUUGCAAUCCCCGAUGGCGACCGGCGCACGGGUGAGUAACGCGUAUCCAACCUGCCCUUCACCACGGGAUAACCCGGCGAAAGUCGGACUAAUACCGUAUGUUGUCCAUUGACGGCAUCCGAUUUGGACGAAAGGCUUGGCGGGGGGGGCUGGGGAUGCGUCCGAUUAGCCAGACGGCGGGGUAACGGCCCACCGUGGCUACGAUCGGUAGGGGUUCUGAGAGGAAGGUCCCCCACACUGGAACUGAGACACGGUCCAGACUCCUACGGGAGGCAGCAGUGAGGAAUAUUGGUCAAUGGGCGUAAGCCUGAACCAGCCAAGUAGCGUGCAGGAUGACGGCCCUAUGGGUUGUAAACUGCUUUUAUGCGGGGAUAAAGUGGCCCACGUGUGGGCUUUUGCAGGUACCGCAUGAAUAAGGACCGGCUAAUUCCGUG
rnacentral:rRNA from 1 species